GGCAACGGCACUAAUAGUUCUUCUUCUUCCACUUAUCCCCCCACCCACCUCGCUCUAUCCUCUGCAUUGCUAAACCGAAAUAGUUUCUCCUCCUCCUCUUCUUUUUCUUCUUCUUCUACUACCAUCAAUGUGAUUGCUUUUGAUGACCGAAGUGAAAUGAGUUUUGUUUAUUACUCCCCCUCCCCCUUUUUUUGAUUAGUGGAGCAUAAAUCUUAUUUAUUGUCCUCUACCAUGGCGAUAUGGACUCUGUUUGAAAUGCUAUGGGCUUCCAUUUUGACCUUCGAGUCUUCCUUGGUUUUUCUAUUCUAGGUUUCUUCCCUUGCACCAAAUUACAUACCUACCUCUGUACCUAUGGGUGCAUGGGUGUUGGGGCGUUAGGAUGGUGUCACUUUAUUUCCCACAUCUUUGUUGUUGAGCACAUUGUGAUAAAGUACUGCUGCUGCUGUUAUCAUUGUUGUUGUUGUGACAUGAAUCAUAUAUAGUGAAACUAGGCAACAAAGGAUCAUUUCGAGGGUGUAUUUGUUCAUGUUCAAGUGCUUAGCAAACAGCCCCUGGUUUGGAGGUCCGCAUACUCUUUCUGAAUCAAUGGCGAGUCCAAUAGCUCUUUUUUCCUCCUCCUAAUUGGAUAGAGAGAUGUGGAGGGAGUGCUUAAUAGAGGAUGGAGCAAUUCAGUAAUGCAUUCAUCGUAGUGUCCGCUAAUGAGCUUUGGGUUAGUCUCCCUUCCUUGUUGUUAGUUAUUGUUUUUAUAUGUUACUAGCUGUUGCUUGGACAAGGCUUUUGUCUUUAAUUGCGCCCUGAAACUCCUCUUGGAAGGGAUCAUCUUGCACUUCCAGCCUGAUCAGGAUUUGGCAUAUAAUGAAUUGAACUGCAAAUUAAAUUGCAGACCGGACUCCUCUCCGAGCACAUGUUGUUUCACUGAUAAAAAAAUGUAAGAUGAUCACUUCCAACAGGAAUUGCAGGCAAUCCUUUCACAGAUAAACUUAAGUUUUGAAGAAGCCAUUAAUGAAUGUCGUAAUAUUUAAGAGAGCCAGUGGACAAUAUAAUGGCUUUGAGAUGUCAUUGAUACCACCAAGAUGAUCUUUUCUUUUCUUUUUUCUUUUUUUUAUUUUGAACAGGAUGCUACCAAGGUGUUCAUAGCUAUAGUUUGUAACAAGCUUUCAUUGAUCCUGUCGCUUUAAUACUAGGCACAUUGCCUUUCUUUUCAGAACUUCAGAAGCUUAAGCAUAUCCUUAUUUAUGCAGCCCAUGUUUGUAACUCUUCUCCAAGCACAGGUGUAGCAUAAUCAGCUCUCUUAGUUCAUGAGAAAAUGUUCCUACCAUGGUGAAUCCUGAAGUAUAUUUGCGAUGACUAUAUAAUGAAGCUUGAAUUACAGACUUUUCUAA